GGGGAAUUAGCUCAUCUGGUAGAGCGUUAGACUGGCAGUCUAAAGGUGAUGGGUUCGAUCCCCAUAUUCUCCA
rnacentral:tRNA from 1 species